rnacentral:rRNA from 1 species
GAUGAACGCUGGCGGCGUGCCUAAUACAUGCAAGUCGAGCGAACAGAUGAGGAGCUUGCUCCUCUGACGUUAGCGGCGGACGGGUGAGUAACACGUGGAUAACCUACCUAUAAGACUGGGAUAACUUCGGGAAACCGGAGCUAAUACCGGAUAAUAUAUUGAACCGCAUGGUUCAAUAGUGAAAGACGGUUUUGCUGUCACUUAUAGAUGGAUCCGCGCCGCAUUAGCUAGUUGGUAAGGUAACGGCUUACCAAGGCAACGAUGCGUAGCCGACCUGAGAGGGUGAUCGGCCACACUGGAACUGAGACACGGUCCAGACGCCUACGGGAGGCAGCAGUAGGGAAUCUUCCGCAAUGGGCGAAAGCCUGACGGAGCAACGCCGCGUGAGUGAUGAAGGUCUUCGGAUCGUAAAACUCUGUUAUUAGGGAAGAACAAAUGUGUAACUAACUAUGCACGUCUUGACGGUACCUAAUCAGAAAGCCACGGCUAACUACGUG